GAAUAGGACCUUACAGGACAAUAUAUAUUUUCUAUAAGUCUAUAGUAAUGUCACGUGUAUUAAACUUGCUCAUUUUAUUUUGUAGAAUUGGCCAAUAAAGGUAAACUAAUAUUCUUACUUUCUUACCAACGUACAAAAUAUUACAGUCCAGAAGCUCUGCCUCUUUUUCGCGAACCAAUAAGAGGCCUGUAUUGAGAUGUGGCAUUCUUUCAAUUUUUUUGGCGCCAUUUGUGGGCAAUUUCUUGACUAAACAACCUGCAGCUGCCGCCCCGGACGCUGCAAGGCGUGGAGCGGCGGAUUGUUAGGAAAAGUGAUGGCUGGGGGAUGGACACUGACCACUGUACAAUACAAAGAAGAUUUGGAAGAUGUCAAUGCUGUGGGAGUACAGUUUCAUUUUCAAGCCCAGAUGUCUCAUGAAGGAAGCAAGCUUUAAGAAGACGACUGACCAGGUGAGGCUUUUGUUUAUUCCGCCAACCCAUAGAGUUAGGGUGGGGCGUUUGAAGGAGUCUUAUCAGUUGUUAACAAUUUAGUUGUUUUAAGUAGGGAAUAUUUGGACAAGUGCCUUGUGAGAAUUACUCGUAUGCUAUUUUAACAUGUUAAAUACAUGUGGGUACAGGGAUAGAGUUUCUGAAAUGUUAGACAUGUAAGUAGAAAGGUCUGAAGACCCAGUAAUUUUUAUGAUUGUUAUACUUGUAAUGUAAGAGAUUGUACUGAGUCUACCAAAACAUGUUUGGCAAUCUUGAAAGUGAAAAUAAGAAUUUCUCUGUGCUAUUUCUUGCACCUGUUCAUGCCUUGGCUUGGUCCCUGAUGCUCACA